UACGUAGGGGGCUAGCGUUGUCCGGAAUCAUUGGGCGUAAAGAGCUCGUAGGCGGUCUGUCGCGUCUGCUGUGAAAACUCAGGGCUUAACCCUGAGCUUGCAGUGGGUACGGGCAGACUAGAGUGCGGUAGGGGAGACUGGAAUUCCUGGUGUAGCGGUGAAAUGCGCAGAUAUCAGGAGGAACACCGAUGGCGAAGGCAGGUCUCUGGGCCAUAACUGACGCUGAGAAGCGAAAGCAUGGGGAGCGAACAGG
rnacentral:rRNA from 1 species